rnacentral:rRNA from 1 species
AGUGAACGCUGGCGGUAGGCCUAACACAUGCAAGUCGAACGGCAGCACAGUAAGAGCUUGCUCUUACGGGUGGCGAGUGGCGGACGGGUGAGGAAUACAUCGGAAUCUACUUUUUCGUGGGGGAUAACGUAGGGAAACUUACGCUAAUACCGCAUACGACCUACGGGUGAAAGCAGGGGAUCUUCGGACCUUGCGCGAGUGAAUGCGCAGAUGUCGGAUUCGCUAGUUGGCGGGGUAAAGGCCCACCAAGGCGACGAUCCGUAGCUGGUCUGAGAGGAUGAUCAGCCACACUGGAACUGAGACACGGUCCAGACUCCUACGGGAGGCAGCAGUGGGGAAUAUUGGACAAUGGGCGCAAGCCUGAUCCAGCCAUACCGCGUGGGUGAAGAAGGCCUUCGGGUUGUAAAGCCCUUUUGUUGGGAAAGAAAAGCAGCAGGUUAAUACCCCGCUGUUUUGACGGUACCCAAAGAAUAAGCACCGGCUAACUUCGUG